rnacentral:rRNA from 1 species
GAGUUUGAUCCUGGCUCAGGAUGAACGCUGGCGGCGUGUCUAAGGCAUGCAAGUCGAACGAUCUCUUCGGAGAUAGUGGCAAACGGGAGAGUAACACAUUGGUACCUACCCUCAAGUCGGGAAUAACUACGCGAAAGUGUAAUUAAUACCCGAUAGUCUCUUCGGAGUAAAGUUUUUCGCUUGAGGAAGGGCCUAUGUACCAUCAGCUUGUUGGUAGUGUAAUGGACUACCAAGGCAACGACGGUUAGCGGGCGUGAGAGCGUGACCCGUCUCACUGGGACUGAGACACUGCCCAGACUCCUACGGGAGGCUGCAGUCAAGAAUCUUCCACAAUGGGCGAAAGCCUGAUGGAGCGACGCCGCGUGCAGGAUGACACCCCUAGGGGCGUAAACUGCUUUUAUUAGGGACGAAUUAGUGACGGUACCUAAUGAAUAAGGGGCUGCCAAACUCGUGCCAGCAGCAGCGGUAAUACGAGUGCCCCGAGCGUUAUCCGGAUUUAUUGGGCGUAAAGCGUGAAUAGGUGGUUUAAUAAGUCAUUGGUGAAAGACCAGAGCUCAACUCUGGGAACGCUGACGAUACUGUUAAACUUGAGGCUAGGAGAGGUAAGUGGAAUUGCCGGUGGAGGGGUUAAAUCCGUUGAUAUCGGCAGGAACACCAAAGGCGAAGGCAACUUACUGGAAUAGUUCUGACACUAAUUUCACGAAAGCGUGGGGAGCGAAGAGGAUUAGAUACCCUCGUAGUCCACGCCGUAAACGAUGAAUGCUAGGCAUUGGUAGUAUCGACCCUAUCAGUGCCGUUUACAAAAGCUAACGCGUUAAGCAUUCCGCCUGGGGAGUACGGUCGCAAGACUAAAACUCAAAGGAAUUGACGGGGACCCGCACAAGCGGUGGAGCGUGUGGUUUAAUUCGAUGCUAAGCGAGUAACCUCACCAAGACUUGACAUAUAGCUGCAAGCUCUAGAGAUAGAGUCGCCUACGAGGGUGCUAUACAGGUGCUGCAUGGUUGUCGUCAGCUCGUGUCGUGAGAUGUACGGUUAAGUCCGGUAACGAGCGCAACCCCUAUUGUAUGUUACAAUUUCAUACGAGACUGCCCAGGUUAACUGGGAGGAAGGUGGGGACGACGUCAAAUCAGCAUGGCCCUUAUGUCUUGGGCUACACACGCGCUACAAUGGUCAGUACAAUGGGCUGCUAAGUCGUAAGAUGGAGCUAAUCCCAACAAAACUGAUCUCAGUUCGGAUUGAGGGCUGCAAUUCGCCCUCAUGAAGUUGGAAUCGCUAGUAACCGCGUAUCAGCUACGGCGCGGUGAAUACGUUCUCGGGUCUUGUACACACCGCCCGUCACACCAAGGGAGUCGGUAAUGCCCGAAGCCUCAGUUUAUCUGGGUCGAAGGUAGGACCGGUAACAAGGGUGAAGUCGUAACAAGGUAACC